rnacentral:rRNA from 1 species
CUUUUUGAGAUUAAUAAAAAGUCGUGCCUGCCCACUGAUUUCAUUGAAGGGCCGCGGUAUUUUGACCGUGCAAAGGUAGCAUAAUCAUUAGUCUUUUAAUUGGGGACUGGAAUGAAUGGUUUGACGAAACAUUGGCUGUCUUAAAAAUAUAAUUUUGAAUUUAACUUUUAAGUUAAAAGGCUUAAAUAAUAAAUAGGGACGAGAAGACCCUAUAGAUCUUUAUUUUUAAUUAUUAAUUAUGUAGUUUGGUUUUAUUUAUAUAUUAUUAAUUAAAUAUUUUGUUGGGGUGACGGAAGAAUAGUAAAACUUCUUUUUUAUUAAGCUUGGAUUUGAGGUUGUGGGAUCCUUUAUUAUGGAUUUAAGAUUAAGAUACCUUAGGGAUAACAGCGUAAUUUUGUUUGAGAGUUCUUAUCGACAACGAAGAUUGCGACCUCGAUGUUGGAUUAAGAUUAUAUAUUGGUGAAGAAGUUAAUGUUAUUAGUCUGUUC